rnacentral:rRNA from 1 species
UACGAAGGGGGCUAGCGUUGCUCGGAAUCACUGGGCGUAAAGCGCACGUAGGCGGAUCCUUAAGUCAGGGGUGAAAUCCUGGAGCUCAACUCCAGAACUGCCUUUGAUACUGGGGAUCUCGAGUCCGGAAGAGGUGAGUGGAACUCCGAGUGUAGAGGUGAAAAUUCGUAGAUAUUCGGAAGAACACCAGUGGCGAAGGCGGCUCACUGGUCCGGUACUGACGCUGAGGUGCGAAAGCGUGGGGAGCAA